UACGUAGGGUGCAAGCGUGUCCGGAAUUAUUGGGCGUAAAGAGCUCGUAGGCGGUUUGUCGCGUCUGCUGUGAAAUUCCCGAGGCUCAACCUCGGGCCUGCAGUGGGUACGGGCAGACUAGAGUGCGGUAGGGGAGAUUGGAAUUCCUGGUGUAGCGGUGGAAUGCGCAGGAUAAUCAGGAGGAACACCGGUGGCGAAGGCGGGUCUCUGGGCCGUUACUGACGCUGAGGAAGCGAAAGCGUGGGGAGCGAACG
rnacentral:rRNA from 1 species